GUUAGGGAAUGGUGUGUGGGAAACAUGGGAGACCAAGAUGAGUUUUGGAAAAUUGGGUAAGAAUGGAUUAAAAGGAAGAGAAAAUAGCAUGGAGAAAGUAUGUAGUUACAGAAACUAACUGGGUAGAUAAACUGGCUGGAUGAAAAGAGGACUUUGUGACAAGACAAGAUAGAAAAGGCAGGAUGGCAUACAAGUUUUUAGAAAUUUCAAUGCCAGACUAAGCAGCUUAGCCUGCGUCUUACAGGCACUGAAGGUUUCUGAACAGCAGAGAAAGAUGACAAGAGCAGAUAAUCCGGACUAGAGAGAGGGUAGAAAGACGGUGACCCAAUGGACAUUCACUGAAUACCUUUUUACCUCAACUAUAGCAUAAAUAUCUAUAGGGAAAGGAUUAUAUUCAUACUUCCCUGUAUCACUCUUGAUACAAACCACAAUUUUGCAUAAACGUUGGCUGACUGGUAAAUAUUCUGGCCAUGAAUGAAUAGGUAAGAUUAGCCAGAGAGGAAAAACAUUCCUAAUAUAGAUGACCUUAACCUCUGCCUUAAGCCUUUUUUCUGUUCUCAGUGACUGGUACCCCCCCGCCCCCAACUGACACCUAACCACCCAUCCAACUUCAACACAAUUUCUCCUCAUCAAGGAGAAAAGGAAUUAUGACUAAGAUGGUAACAAAUUAAAAAUUUCUUAAAGUGAAUCGUUAGCUAUAUCUAAGGACAUUCAGAAUCCUGAUUCGAGUUAAUAAAUUGAUAGUUGCAAUUUCUUAAACACAAAUAUAUAAAGCUUGUCUCACUGAUUUACAAAUAGUUCAAUUCUAGUUCACCCACAGAAGCGAACAGGCUGAUAUGUCACCUCCACAAAUAUAGCAAGCCCUGGGGGUAAAUUCUCCAGUGACAGGCAUUUCAAACCUGUUUAUCUAUGUGGCCAAAAACUAGCCCUGCAACUUUAUGGAAACAAAAGAAGUGAUAACCAAAAAGGAAAAACAGAAUCUCUGUAAAUUUAAGCUUCAAGGAAGACAAAAGGAGACCACCAAAUACUGUGAAUGGGAUAAAACACACAGACAAAGGUGAAAACAAACAAGCCAGGAUAGAGAAUGAGAAUAAGGCAGCUUUAACAUUGGGACUGUCAAGACUCUACAAAAGUAACUAAAGUAUAUCAAAUCGGAGGAUCAAAGAACAGGAAGGUUUCCUCCCACUGCUCUGGAAGAAGGCAUGUGUUCCUUGAAUUGCUUAGGGUAGCAAGUCUAAAAUUCACCAAAAGGAGAUAAGAAUAAACUGGUCACCUAAACGAUGAUGCCCCAGGAGUCUACCUCAUCCCUCUGGGUUAUUUCAUUCACUCUCCAGGCAUAAAAUACCAUCUAUACACGGACAAAUCCUUCACGCAGCUCAGGACUCUCUCCUAUGCUCCAGACCCAGUAUACUGAAGUGCUUCAUGAAUAUGUUUUCCAUUGGAUGUCCCUCAGGCAUCUUGAAACACAGACUCCAAACUGAACUUGCUAUCCACCAACCUCCCCCCACAUCCUUCAACAACAUGCUUAUCCUCCAAAAUCUUCACCUCUGCUGAUGGCAUCAUCAUUCCAAUUAUCCCACCAUCUUUCCUCCUCCCCGGUCCCCUCAUUUCUCAUCAAGUCCUGUCAAAUCUAUUGUCUUAAUUACUCUAAUCAAUGUCCCCUGUUCCGUCCUCCUUGCCCACCCCAUUUCUGACCUAAAUUAUUUUUUUACCACCCAGCCCACCCAGAAUUUCCUCAAGUAUGUUCUUUAAAACAUAGUUCUUCCCAAGAUACUCCAUUAAAAAAGGAUUCUAUGAUUCAAUAUUUUCAGUGAGUAACUGCACUGUGACUGCAGAGUCACAGUACAUACCAGCAUAUUAAAGUUUUCAAGAACCCCUGGCCUGAAGAAACAUGUUCAUACCGACCUUUCACCAUCAUCACUUCCCCUGGCUCCCUUUCCCCAACUGCUUUUCUUCACUUGGCUAACUUCUACUUAUCCUUCAAGCUCAGACCUUGCCUCUUACAGGAAGGCCCCUGAGAAUAGAUACCUGUCCCUACGCUGUGCUUCCAGAUCUCUCCUUGCACGCCCCUAUACAGAACCUUCAUGCUAAUGGCAUGCAGUCUGGAGUAUGCCUCCUGUACUUGGUUGUGAGACCCUUGAGGGGAAAGACUCUGACUGACUUAUCUUCCAAAGUCCAGCAGGUUAUCUGGCACGUGGCAGUGAAUUAAUAAACCCUAUUGAGUAAAUGAAUGCUAACAAUACCUAAAUGUGUUAUCAUUUAUUCUGUGACAGGCAUCUGCUAAUCUCCUUGCAUGUAUUAACUAUUUAACCCACCCAAAGAUCCUAGGAGGUGAGUGCUAGUAUUUUUCCCAUUUGACACAUGGGGCAACCAAGGCAGGAGGAGUGAAUAUGUUUCAUUUUUCCUCCCAUACAAUCUUAUUUUCUCAUUUCCAGCAGCAUAAACAUGAGUAUUUUUACCCUGCUUCUUAGGAAAGAGGAUGUGAUCAAACCAAUGGAAAGCUGGCAGAACAUUGUUACUUUUAGAAAUACUGUUAUGUUAUAGAACAAAAAAGCUUUAGUAUAAAGGGAAAAUAACUAG